rnacentral:rRNA from 3 species
GGUUAAGCGACUAAGCGUACACGGUGGAUGCCCUGGCAGUCAGAGGCGAUGAAGGACGUGCUAAUCUGCGAUAAGCGUCGGUAAGGUGAUAUGAACCGUUAUAACCGGCGAUUUCCGAAUGGGGAAACCCAGUGUGUUUCGACACACUAUCAUUAACUGAAUCCAUAGGUUAAUGAGGCGAACCGGGGGAACUGAAACAUCUAAGUACCCCGAGGAAAAGAAAUCAACCGAGAUUCCCCCAGUAGCGGCGAGCGAACGGGGAGCAGCCCAGAGCCUGAAUCAGUGUGUGUGUUAGUGGAAGCGUCUGGAAAGGCGCGCGAUACAGGGUGACAGCCCCGUACACAAAAAUGCACAUGCUGUGAGCUCGAUGAGUAGGGCGGGACACGUGGUAUCCUGUCUGAAUAUGGGGGGACCAUCCUCCAAGGCUAAAUACUCCUGACUGACCGAUAGUGAACCAGUACCGUGAGGGAAAGGCGAAAAGAACCCCGGCGAGGGGAGUGAAAAAGAACCUGAAACCGUGUACGUACAAGCAGUGGGAGCACGCUUAGGCGUGUGACUGCGUACCUUUUGUAUAAUGGGUCAGCGACUUAUAUUCUGUAGCAAGGUUAACCGAAUAGGGGAGCCGAAGGGAAACCGAGUCUUAACUGGGCGUUAAGUUGCAGGGUAUAGACCCGAAACCCGGUGAUCUAGCCAUGGGCAGGUUGAAGGUUGGGUAACACUAACUGGAGGACCGAACCGACUAAUGUUGAAAAAUUAGCGGAUGACUUGUGGCUGGGGGUGAAAGGCCAAUCAAACCGGGAGAUAGCUGGUUCUCCCCGAAAGCUAUUUAGGUAGCGCCUCGUGAAUUCAUCUCCGGGGGUAGAGCACUGUUUCGGCAAGGGGGUCAUCCCGACUUACCAACCCGAUGCAAACUGCGAAUACCGGAGAAUGUUAUCACGGGAGACACACGGCGGGUGCUAACGUCCGUCGUGAAGAGGGAAACAACCCAGACCGCCAGCUAAGGUCCCAAAGUCAUGGUUAAGUGGGAAACGAUGUGGGAAGGCCCAGACAGCCAGGAUGUUGGCUUAGAAGCAGCCAUCAUUUAAAGAAAGCGUAAUAGCUCACUGGUCGAGUCGGCCUGCGCGGAAGAUGUAACGGGGCUAAACCAUGCACCGAAGCUGCGGCAGCGACACUAUGUGUUGUUGGGUAGGGGAGCGUUCUGUAAGCCUGUGAAGGUGUGCUGUGAGGCAUGCUGGAGGUAUCAGAAGUGCGAAUGCUGACAUAAGUAACGAUAAAGCGGGUGAAAAGCCCGCUCGCCGGAAGACCAAGGGUUCCUGUCCAACGUUAAUCGGGGCAGGGUGAGUCGACCCCUAAGGCGAGGCCGAAAGGCGUAGUCGAUGGGAAACAGGUUAAUAUUCCUGUACUUGGUGUUACUGCGAAGGGGGGACGGAGAAGGCUAUGUUGGCCGGGCGACGGUUGUCCCGGUUUAAGCGUGUAGGCUGGUUUUCCAGGCAAAUCCGGAAAAUCAAGGCUGAGGCGUGAUGACGAGGCACUACGGUGCUGAAGCAACAAAUGCCCUGCUUCCAGGAAAAGCCUCUAAGCAUCAGGUAACAUCAAAUCGUACCCCAAACCGACACAGGUGGUCAGGUAGAGAAUACCAAGGCGCUUGAGAGAACUCGGGUGAAGGAACUAGGCAAAAUGGUGCCGUAACUUCGGGAGAAGGCACGCUGAUAUGUAGGUGAGGUCCCUCGCGGAUGGAGCUGAAAUCAGUCGAAGAUACCAGCUGGCUGCAACUGUUUAUUAAAAACACAGCACUGUGCAAACACGAAAGUGGACGUAUACGGUGUGACGCCUGCCCGGUGCCGGAAGGUUAAUUGAUGGGGUUAGCGCAAGCGAAGCUCUUGAUCGAAGCCCCGGUAAACGGCGGCCGUAACUAUAACGGUCCUAAGGUAGCGAAAUUCCUUGUCGGGUAAGUUCCGACCUGCACGAAUGGCGUAAUGAUGGCCAGGCUGUCUCCACCCGAGACUCAGUGAAAUUGAACUCGCUGUGAAGAUGCAGUGUACCCGCGGCAAGACGGAAAGACCCCGUGAACCUUUACUAUAGCUUGACACUGAACAUUGAGCCUUGAUGUGUAGGAUAGGUGGGAGGCUUAGAAGUGUGGACGCCAGUCUGCAUGGAGCCGACCUUGAAAUACCACCCUUUAAUGUUUGAUGUUCUAACGUUGACCCGUAAUCCGGGUUGCGGACAGUGUCUGGUGGGUAGUUUGACUGGGGCGGUCUCCUCCUAAAGAGUAACGGAGGAGCACGAAGGUUGGCUAAUCCUGGUCGGACAUCAGGAGGUUAGUGCAAUGGCAUAAGCCAGCUUGACUGCGAGCGUGACGGCGCGAGCAGGUGCGAAAGCAGGUCAUAGUGAUCCGGUGGUUCUGAAUGGAAGGGCCAUCGCUCAACGGAUAAAAGGUACUCCGGGGAUAACAGGCUGAUACCGCCCAAGAGUUCAUAUCGACGGCGGUGUUUGGCACCUCGAUGUCGGCUCAUCACAUCCUGGGGCUGAAGUAGGUCCCAAGGGUAUGGCUGUUCGCCAUUUAAAGUGGUACGCGAGCUGGGUUUAGAACGUCGUGAGACAGUUCGGUCCCUAUCUGCCGUGGGCGCUGGAGAACUGAGGGGGGCUGCUCCUAGUACGAGAGGACCGGAGUGGACGCAUCACUGGUGUUCGGGUUGUCAUGCCAAUGGCACUGCCCGGUAGCUAAAUGCGGAAGAGAUAAGUGCUGAAAGCAUCUAAGCACGAAACUUGCCCCGAGAUGAGUUCUCCCUGACCCUUUAAGGGUCCUGAAGGAACGUUGAAGACGACGACGUUGAUAGGCCGGGUGUGUAAGCGCAGCGAUGCGUUGAGCUAACCGGUACUAAUGAACCGUGAGGCUUAACCUU